rnacentral:tRNA from 1 species
GGGCCUAUAGCUCAGUCCGGUCAGAGCAACCGGCUCAUAACCGGUUGGUCCCAGGUUCGAAUCCUGGUGGGCCCACCA